AGCGAACGCUGGCGGCAGGCCUAACACAUGCAAGUCGAACGAAGCCUUCGGGCUUAGUGGCGGACGGGUGAGUAACACGUGGGAACGUACCUUUUGGUUCGGAACAACUCAGGGAAACUUGAGCUAAUACCGGAUGAGCCCUUAGGGGGAAAGAUUUAUCGCCGAAAGAGCGGCCCGCGUUAGAUUAGCUAGUUGGUGAGGUAAAGGCUCACCAAGGCAACGAUCUAUAGCUGGUCUGAGAGGAUGAUCAGCCACACUGGGACUGAGACACGGCCCAGACUCCUACGGGAGGCAGCAGUGGGGAAUCUUGCGCAAUGGGCGAAAGCCUGACGCAGCCAUGCCGCGUGAAUGAUGAAGGUCUUAGGAUUGUAAAAUUCUUUUACCAGGGACGAUAAUGACGGUACCUGGAGAAAAAGCCCCGGCUAACUUCGUGCCAGCAGCCGCCGCAGUAA
rnacentral:rRNA from 1 species